rnacentral:pre_miRNA from 1 species
GGUGGAAUUGUUAGGUUAUAAAGCAAUUCUAUGUUUUUGAGGAACUGCCAAACUGUUUCUACAGUGGAUACCCCAUUUUACAUUACUAUGAGCAAU